rnacentral:rRNA from 1 species
GACGAACGCUGGCGGCGUGCUUAACACAUGCAAGUCGAACGGAAACGCCCUGCUUUUGUGGGAUGCUUGAGUGGCGAACGGGUGAGUCACACGUGAGUAACCUGCCCUUGACUUUGGGAUAACUUCAGGAAACUUGGGCUAAUACCCGAUAGGUGCUCCUGCUGCAUGGUGGGGGAUGGAAAGUUUCGGUGGUUGGGGAUGGUCUCGCGGGUUAUCAGCGUGGUGGUGGGGCAGCGGAUUACCAAGGCUUUGACGGGUAGUCGGCCUUAGAGGGUGAACGGCGACAUUGGUACUGAGGGACGCACCAGAGUGGUAUGGGGGACAGCAGUGGGGAAUAUUGCACAGUGAGGGGGAGCGUGAUGAGGAAGCGUUGCGGGCGUGAUGUGGGUCUGCGCGGUGUGAAACGCUUCUGCCUGUGACGAAGCGUGAGUGACGGUAAUGGGUAAAGAAGCACCGGCUAACUACGUG